rnacentral:rRNA from 1 species
AGUGAACGCUGGCGGUGGGCCUAACACAUGCAAGUCGAACGGCAGCACAGUAAGAGCUUGCUCUUACGGGUGGCGAGUGGCGGACGGGUGAGGAAUACAUCGGAAUCUACUUUUUCGUGGGGGAUAACGUAGGGAAACUUACGCUAAUACCGCAUACGACCUACGGGUGAAAGCAGGGGAUCUUCGGACCUUGCGCGAUUGAAUGAGCCGAUGUCGGAUUAGCUAGUUGGCGGGGUAAAGGCCCACCAAGGUGACGAUCCGUAGCUGGUCUGAGAGGAUGAUCAGCCACACUGGAACUGAGACACGGUCCAGACUCCUACGGGAGGCAGCAGUGGGGAAUAUUGGACAAUGGGCGCAAGCCUGAUCCAGCCAUACCGCGUGGGUGAAGAAGGCCUUCGGGUUGUAAAGCCCUUUUGUUGGGAAAGAAAAGCAGCAGGUUAAUACCCCGCUGUUCUGACGGUACCCAAAGAAUAAGCACCGGCUAACUUCGUG